AUGGAAAGAAACUUUUAUUUAUAUCAAAUAAUUGAGUGUCUCGACUGUGUGACAUUAUGUCUUGUGUGGUAUGGGGCUGCAGCUCACAUUCAGGAAGAAAAGAAAAUAGCCAACAACUUCUGUCGUUUCAUCGAUAUUAAAUCCAAAAGUGUCGACUGGAUUUACAUGAAAAGUCAGUUCAAGAAGACGAGAUGAAAAAUUUAAAAGAAAAGCUGAACAAGUCCCGCCUCAAGAUCAAACGACUUAAUGAAAAAAAAAAACAAUGUGACAGGGUGUCACAAAGACAGUUUCUAAGCAAAUUGACACUGUUUAGAAAUUAAUAAAUUUGUAUUUAUU